rnacentral:rRNA from 1 species
GACGAACGCNGGCGGCGUGCUUAACACAUGCAAGUCGAACGAAGAGCGAUGGAAGCUUGCUUCUAUCAAUCUUAGUGGCGAACGGGUGAGUAACGCGUAAUCAACCUACCCUUCAGAGGGGGACAACAGUUGGAAACGACUGCUAAUACCGCAUACAAUCCAAUCUCGGCAUCGAGACUGGAUGAAAGGUGGCCUCUAUUUAUAAGCUAUCACUGAAGGAGGGGAUUGCGUCUGAUUAGCUAGUUGGAGGGGUAACGGCCCACCAAGGCGAUGAUCAGUAGCCGGUCUGAGAGGAUGAACGGCCACAUUGGGACUGAGACACGGCCCAGACCCCUACGGGAGGCAGCAGUGGGGAAUCUUCCGCAAUGGACGAAAGUCUGACGGAGCAACGCCGCGUGAGUGAUGACGGCCUUCGGGUUGUAAAGCUCUGUUAAUCGGGACGAAUGGUUCUUGUGCAAAUAGUGCGAGGAUUGACG